rfam:Pan troglodytes isolate Yerkes chimp pedigree #C0471 (Clint) chromosome 19, whole genome shotgun sequence.
GCCAGGCAUGGUGGCGUAUGCCUGUAGUCCCAGCUACUCGGGAGGCUGAGGUGGGAGGAUCGCUUGAAUCCAGGAAUUGGAGGCAGCAGUGAGCUAUGAUCUCACCACACACCCCAGCCUGGGUGACAGAGCGAGACCCCAUCUCAA